UGUUGUUUUCUCGAAAAUCAAUUAAAAAAGGCAGGAUUUUGUGUUGUAUUGACUUUAUCAGCUUUCUGCACUCUUUUCUUGUCUUGUUUAAUGCACUUUUCGUUUAACAAGUCAACAUCAAUUUCUUUUGUUGUAAAAGGGUCAUUGGAAGGUGGCUUUCUUCUCGGAGAAAGUGUUUAUAGCCUUUGGCCUCUGCAAUCGGAGAGAUUGAGGUCUGCAGCGUAGAUCCUUCGGGGUUAGAUACAUUUGUGCUAAGUUAUAGCCUUUCAUAGACAACUUGUUGACUAUGAUCAGUCAUGUAGCUUACUCGCUUAUGCUAUUUUACCUAC
rnacentral:rRNA from 1 species